GACGUAGGGCGCAAGCGUUGUCCGGAAUUAUUGGGCGUAAAGAGCUCGUAGGCGGCUUGUCGCGUCGACUGUGAAAACCCGUGGCUCAACCAUGUGGUCUGCAGUCGAUACGGGCAGGCUAGAAUUCGGUAGGGGAGACUGGAAUUCCUGGUGUAGCGGUGAAAUGCGCAGAUAUCAGGAGGAACACCGGUGGCGAAGGCGGGUCUCUGGGCCGAUAUUGACGCUGAGGAGCGAAAGCGUGGGGAGCAAACAGG
rnacentral:rRNA from 1 species